rnacentral:lncRNA from 1 species
UCACAAUUGUACAGCUGUUUCUAAUCAUAAAAAUUCCGUACCAAAAAUCUUCCUUUGUUUUCACUGAUGUAAACUCAGAGCAAGUUCAGUGAGUUGCUCAGAAUUUACCUGGCGAUAGAGGACAGCUGAUUUCAUUUGAGCAGUACAAGAGACAAUCUUACUUUUGCUCUCCCUAGGAUUACGGUAAACUUGUCAAUCAGUGCCCAGAGGCAGUCAACACAAUGCAGUUGUGCCAGAUACGUAGAGUGACUUGCCAAGAUACUCUCUCUGCAUCACUGAGAUACAAGGAGCCUGAUCCUCCUGCCAGCUUGUGCCCCAGGCUCUGCAAAUCUGUGCCUUUCAGAAGUCCAUGGUUGCCUUUCCUUUGCCAGCAGGGAUAAGUAACAGCAAGUGGGCUGGGGAGCUCUCUCAGAUCUGAUUUUUUGGGGGUAGUUGAAAAGUUUCAAAUCUCAGUUCUGUUUAUUUAAAACACAAAUCCAGCUGAAAUGUGUAUCUGUGAACCAGAGAAGUGAUCAAAAAAGGUCUGCACCUUUUUUUUUUUUUUUUUUUUUUUUCUCUUGAGAAUUAAUCACUUGGCUGUGUUAUUCUUACUGUAAUCUUUCUGUGAUGCUUAAUCUGGAAGAUGUACUUGCAGCUGUCUUGGUAAUAUUCUCCUGCUGGCAUCAUCAGAUCUGUUAUUUGUACCAUUUACCUGUUUUCAAAGCACAUCAGGUUUAUGUAUUAUUUUUCGACUGCUUUAGCUUUGUACUUUUACACCUAAAGAAAUGAGUAUGCUUUCUUUGAUGCCAUUUUUCCAUUUUUGAUAAACUAAUAUUAAAAAUAAAGGCUGUUUGAAAUCUGACUCUGAAACCUCCUUAUUUCCACCAAGAACAAAACAAAAUAAACAAACAAAAAACCCCACCAACUCCAAAACAACACUAUCCCCUGCAAAUUGUUUUAGAACACUGUGGUUGGGGGAGAACUGUGGCAGGAAUGAUUCUGAUUUUUUACUUUGGGCAUAAAUCUUAGAAGCUCAGCUUCAGCCCAGCACUUGAAUCUGUGUUAUAAGUCACUGAAACAGAAGCUGAUAUUUGGGUUAACCACAGGCAUCUCUAUGCAGAUUUUGCUUUGGUAAAUAUCUCAAAUUUGGACAUCCUUGCAAAAUGAGUCUGCAGUGAGGGUGGGCAGAGCAGAGAGUGGAAGAUGUGAAUAACAAGAAGCCAUCCAGAAGUUCUCAAAACAGCCUUUUCCAGGCUUUACUUCUUACUUGAGCAUUAUUUGAAUAAUUCUGUUUAAAAUGAUGGAAAUUUUUCUAAGUGAGAUUGCAGUGUGGGCUGGG